rnacentral:tRNA from 1 species
GGCCCCGUGGUCAAGCGGUUAAGACACCGCCCUUUCACGGCGGUAACAGGAGUUCGAGUCUCCUCGGGGUCACCA